rnacentral:sRNA from 1 species
UUAUAGUGGAAUCAGGGCUAUUAAUUUUAUCUUCAUAAAUAAAGGUCGUCAAACAGGAAGACGCCCUAAACCCCAGAGGUUUAAGCAGCUAGACGCCCUAAAUCCCAGUGGUUUAAAGCUCUUCUCUUCACCAGUUAAAACCUUAGUAGAAGCGAUCCGUGGACCCUUCCCUGUUCUUAUAGACGGACAACUCUCUGGCUACUGGGUGGAACAGAAAAACCCCUCGUUUCCCCGGAGGGCUGGGGACACUCCCCCAAAAACCCAGGCCGGUCUAGCGAGAGCUUUUUAUAUUGCAGUGGCCUAAAAAUAACACCCUCACUUGCGAAUGGGUUGGAAGCCGUGGUGGCCGGUUCUUUACAUCCGGAGCAGCUGAUCAGAAGCCCUGAAGAAAAGGAAUUACGCAAUGAUUUGCUGUCUCGCUUGGGCAAGGCGGGGGAUGAGCUUUCAGCGGAGUGACACAGGGAGGGCUGUGACGCAUCGAAGGCGUGCGCUCGAGUAAACAACGGAUUAACAGCAGGCUACACAAAAUCCCUGUUCGGCCGGGCCUCCGUGAGACAAUAGAACGUUAAAAUGGAAGGAUGCAGAACCAGGACGAACGACAGAUCGAGGCAUCUCUUUACAGCGCGAGAACCCCAGUAAAUGAAAUGGUUGUGCUGGCUGGUUUUUGUUUGUCAACUUGUCACAAGCCAGGAUCAGAUCCAGGAAAAGACACUGAACUCUAUCUCCAACUUUUAACCUCAGAGCCCAGUAGCUCAACAGGGAAGAAGCAAGAAGGCCAACAAAAGGUUCUCACCAUGGACAGAGGCUCAAGAAAUGAUCUCCUACUGAGCUACAUCUCUAAUCGACUUUGUAAUUUUUACUAUGAGAGGGUCAUACUGAUUUCCUGAGCUGGCCUUGAGGUCAUUCUGUAAGCCAGGCAGGCCUGGACACUCGGGAAUAUCUCUUUAUGUCUGGUCUUACCCUGAAUGCAAACUGACUGCACAAGAGGAGUUAUUAGAGGCUGCAGAAGGAAGAGAGACUGAAUCCGGCACUCGAAGUGCAGCUCGAUGCUAAGGCAAGGUUAGGUGCACUGUUAGGAAUGCACGGUGUGUAUUCUAUGUAGGGGGUGUACGAAUCAGGCCAGCGUUCAUGAAAACCCAAAAGGUCAUUUGGGAAUUUCUCCGUCCUUAAAGUGUAGGAGAGACAGUUUAGUCCCACUUACCAAACCUGGGCAGCUGCACUUCCUCGUGCUUUCUUGCACGUUCAUCCCGGUGACAAUGAGGCUGCUUCACAUCUGGUUGUUAGAGUUGACUGUUUACCAUGGACUCUGCAGUGACCUGGGAGAGGGGCUCUGGGCAUGGCUGUGGGGGAGUAUCUUGAAGACCAGCUGUGGGUGGCAUCAUUCCCUGGCUGGGGUCCUGGAUUGUGUACCUGGAGAAAGGAACUGGGCACUAACCUACCUCUACCCCUCUCUGUGCCUGACUGUGGAUGUGGCAUGGCCGCAGCUUCAAGCCCCAUUGUCCCUUUGGCUCUCCCACAGUGAUGGACUAUAUCCCUUCCCCUUAAGCUGCUUUUGUGGGAUAUGUCUUUACCACAGUGACAGGAAAAGAAACUAACAGGUUUUGUGGUUCCCUCCACCAUUAUUCAUUGCAAACUCCAGACCAGACAGGAAGCCAGGGCUACACAGGGAGACCUUGUUUCAAAUAAAUGAACGAAUGAAUGAAUGAAUAAUAAAAGAAAAAGGAAACA